UUCCCAUUUAAGAUUACCACAUACAUUCCAAGGUUUUCCACUACCAGAGAUCGCCUUACAUGCAUCAAAUAGUAGAAUGCCUGUAGAAUGUAUGGUAUUUAUCACAGUCCUAUUUAUCAAGGUCCCCUGGGAGUUACUGUUCCGAAUUACCAACCAAAUUGUACGAGGUUGGAAUUGGAGAUCAAAACAUUUAGGCUCUCCUGAUAUUGGUUUGCAGACACUGUAAUCUAUACCUAAAUAUCUACACUUAGAUACAGAUCCCCUACAUUCGUACUGUGAGUGCCAAAUGAGAGUUUGGGAUAUUUGGUUACCUGUUUUCGUAGUCUUAAAAAAUGCCUAAACACAUAAUAUAACAUAUUAUUUCAGAAGUCCUCAUUUCUAUUUUUUGACCGUGUGAUGGCACCUCAGCUUCCCGAUUGUGAGGGCUGCAAGGAUUGUCAUUCUUCUGAUCCUCACUUUUCUUCACAGAGGUCCCUUCGAGACACUCUGACUAUGACACGUAGGUAGGGGGUCAGGCUGUAAUAUGGCCGUCAAAACACCUACUUGCUGAUAUUUGUUGUUACUUUCAACUAAGAUGUCCCAAUAUCUCCUCGUAUUAUAUCUCACUCCGACUGAGUUACCCGCUUUAACCGGAUCUUGCAAGGAUUUUCAGAAUCUGGAAUAGCUUGCCAAGAAUAUGCCUCUGGUUUAACCCUAGAACAGUGAUGGCGAACCUUUUUGAGCCCGAGU